UAUAGAGAAUAUCGUCUGCACGAGAACGGUCAAUUCCAAAGCGACUGUCUGAACAUCUCUUUAUGAAAAUGUCUAUAAUUCUUCUGAGUCAGUAGUUCAGUUCGUGAGAAUUCCGCUCUGAUACAGCGGAGGUCGAAGAUUCGACUUCUUCCUGACACUCCCCUUAAAUUGAUGAGGUAGGAAUCAAAAAACAAAUACUGGUUUUUGAUUCCAGAUGUUCUGAUGAAUAUCUUCGGAAUCUGCUUUUAUUAGCAAUCUUUGUAAAUCGGUUUUUAAUGUCGCAAAUCAAACUUUAUGGAAACAUGACUUUUGAUUUAUUGAUCAUCGUAAUCUCAAAAAUCUUUUUAAAUAGAGUAAUCACGAAAGUGAUAAUUCAAUUAGAGAAGCAAGAAUCACCUUAAAUGCUUAAAAAACUCAUUAAGUUCUUUUGGUUCUGUCUGAAGACUUUCUCUCCAAGCAUAAGAUAAAAAGUAACAAAGGGUGUUUAGUGGAUGCCUUGGCAAUCAGAGCCGAUGAAGGACGUGAAAGGCUGCGAUAAGUCCGGGUGAGGCGUCAAUAUCUUUUGACCCCCGAAUAUC
rnacentral:misc_RNA from 1 species